GCAUCUUCUCUCCCUAGAAUUUCUGCAGGGUUGUUUUUUAAAUUUAAUUUUUUACACUUCACACCAACAGGGGAAAUAAUAUGAUGAUAAUGAGAACGGUUUCGCAAACUAUACUGAAAUCUUGUGAUGUCAUGUGUCUCUUGGCUAUCUGAUUGACCCCUACUAUUAUUACAUGUGUUAUGUAGAAUUAACUAUAGCAUUGAUCCUUACGCAUAGCUUUUUUAAAGUGUUGUGUUAAGUCAGUCCAACUGAAUGCAACAAAAUUUCAAAUCAGAUAAACAUCAUGAAACCACUAGCACACGGGACGUUCUGUACCCUCUGUACUCUGUUCUGUACUUUUUGAUAUUUGUCUAAAAUGUUUAGCGGCUAUAGAGCGUCUCUCUAAACAUGCCUGUGGGACGUUCAGUGAGACAUAAAUGACACGUUUAUCAGCAGUACUGUAAACAUGCCAGCAUUAGCCACAUGCUAGUUCAUCUCAGUCUGUUCUCACCCCUCGACGAUGGUCCCUUUUUUUUGGACCCUGAGCCCUUAUUCGUCUUUUGAGCCGUGACUGAUCCAAACAGACAACAAAAACUAGCGUGUUUGUUGUCUGUAGGUUGUGUGUCUCAGCUGCAAUGAUGAACUCGCUGUAAAAAAAGACCAAUGUUUAGUGAGAUCCUUUGCAGACUCCAAAUUCACUUGUCAGACUGAGUGGCCAUGUACGUCCAUGCCUACACGUUAUACAGUGCCGUCAGAUCCUUCGGAUGCAGAAUCUACAUGAGGUGAAAGACAAAGCGUUUGAGCUGGAGCUCAGCUGGGUGGGAGAGGUUACUAAUGGACACUAUGAGCUGGUUCCCAAGGACAUCAGAGAGGAGGCUGAGAAGUAUGCUAAGGAUUCCCUGGAGGAGGAUGAUGACUGCUGAAGACAACAUGUAAACCGGACUGCUACGGUUUUCACUCAUCACAUGCUCUCAUAGACAGCGUGCUCUUUAAGAGACACUUGGAUAUUCUUUUGUAUGUUUUUAAGUUCAUGGACCAAUCCCGUCAUUUAUUUUCUCUGUUGGGUUUUGAUGGCUUUUGGACUUGAAAUAAAAAUGGAGGCAAACUA